rnacentral:rRNA from 1 species
UACGGAGGGUGCGAGCGUUGUCCGGAAUCACUGGGCGUAAAGGGCGCGUAGGCGGCCUGAUAAGUAGGGGGUGAAAUCUUGCGGCUUAACCGCGGGGCUGCCUUCUAAACUGUCAGGCUAGAGCACAGUAGAGGCAGGUGGAAUUCCCGGUGUAGCGGUGGAAUGCGUAGAGAUCGGGAAGAACAUCAGUGGCGAAGGCGGCCUGCUGGGCUGUUGCUGACGCUGAGGCGCGACAGCGUGGGGAGCAAACAGG